rnacentral:rRNA from 1 species
UAGUCCACGCCGUAAACGAUGGAUACUAGUUGUUUGGAAUUAUCUGAGUGACUAAGCGAAAGUGAUAAGUAUCCCACCUGGGGAGUACGGUCGCAAGACUGAAACUCAAAGGAAUUGACGGGGGCCCGCACAAGCGGUGGAGCAUGUGGUUUAAUUCGAUGAUACGCGAGGAACCUUACCAGGGCUUAAAUGUAGUGGGACAGGUCUAGAGAUAGACUUUUCUUCGGACUCAUUACAAGGUGCUGCAUGGUUGUCGUCAGCUCGUGCCGUGAGGUGUCAGGUUAAGUCCUAUAACGAGCGCAACCCCUGCCGUUAGUUGCCAGCAUGUUAAGAUGGGGACUCUAACGGGACUGCCGGUGCAAACCGCGAGGAAGGUGGGGAUGACGUCAAAUCAUCACGGCCCUUACGUCCUGGGCUACACACGUGCUACAAUGGUAAUGACAGAGAGCAGCCACUGAGUGAUCAGGAGCGAAUCUAUAAACAUUAUCACAGUUCGGAUCGG